UGACCUUAUACCACGUCAGCAAUGUUUGAG
rnacentral:piRNA from 1 species